GUGAGGAAUAUUGCGCAAUGGAGGCAACUCUGACGCAGCCAUGCCGCGUGCAGGAAGAAGGCGCUACGCGUUGUAAACUGCUUUUAACCGGGAAGAAACCCCAGGACGUGUCCUGGGUUGACGGUACCGGAGGAAUAAGCACCGGCUAACUUCGUGCCAGCAGCCGCGGUAAUACGAAGGGUGCAAGCGUUAUCCGGAUUCAUUGGGUUUAAAGGGUGCGUAGGCGGAGCGUUAAGUCAGUGGUGAAAUCCUGCAGCUUAACUGUAGACGUGCCAUUGAUACUGGCGCUCUUGAGUGCGCUUGAAGUGGGCGGAAUGUGCCGUGUAGCGGUGAAAUGCUUAGAUAUGGCACAGAACACCAAUUGCGAAGGCAGCUCACUAAGGCGAUACUGACGCUGAGGCACGAAAGCGUGGGGAUCGAACAGGAUUAGAAACCCUAGUAGUCC
rnacentral:rRNA from 1 species